rnacentral:rRNA from 1 species
GCAGAAUGACGGGCAGGCAGCCGGGGUAAAACGUAAGGAGCAAGCGUUGUCCGGAAUCAUUGGUCGUAAAGCGCGCGGAGGCGGCCCUGUAAGGACGCUGUGAAAGUCAAAGGCUCAACCUUGGAAAGCCGGUGGAGACUGCAGGGCUAGAGUCCGGAAGAGGCGAGUGGAAGUCCUGGUGUAGCGGUGGAAUGCGCAGAUAUCAGGAGGAACACCAAUAGCGAAGGCAGCUCGCUGGGACGGUACUGACGCUAAGGCGCGAAAGCGUGGGGAGCGAACAGGAUUAGAUACUCGGUAGUC